CCUACGGGAGGCUGCAGUGGGGAAUAUUGGACAAUGGGCGAAAGCCUGAUCCAGCCAUGCCGCGUGUGUGAAGAAGGCCUUCGGGUUGUAAAGCACUUUCAGUGGGGAAGAAAGCCUUGGGGCUAAUACCCUCGAGGAAGGACAUCACCCACAGAAGAAGCACCGGCUAACUCCGUGCCAGCAGCCGCGGUAAUACGGAGGGUGCGAGCGUUAAUCGGAAUUACUGGGCGUAAAGCGCGCGUAGGCGGUCUGAUAAGCCGGUUGUGAAAGCCCCGGGCUCAACCUGGGAACGGCAUCCGGAACUGUCAGGCUAGAGUGCAGGAGAGGAAGGUAGAAUUCCCGGUGUAGCGGUGAAAUGCGUAGAGAUCGGGAGGAAUACCAGUGGCGAAGGCGGCCUUCUGGACUGACACUGACGCUGAGGUGCGAAAGCGUGGGUAGCAAACAGGAAUAGAUACCCGAGUAGUC
rnacentral:rRNA from 1 species